UCCCUUGUGGCUCAGCUGGUAAAGAAUCCACCUGCAAUGUGGGAGACCUGGGUUCGAUUCCUGGGUUGGGAA
rfam:TPA: Bos taurus chromosome X, whole genome shotgun sequence.